UGAUUUCUAAGCACUUGGUGUCGGUCGGCCUU
rnacentral:piRNA from 1 species